rnacentral:rRNA from 1 species
GUAUAAGAGACAGCAGUAGCCGCGGUAAUACGGAGGGAGCUAGCGUUGUUCGGAAUUACUGGGCGUAAAGCGCACGCAGGCGGUUAUUCAAGUCAGAGGUGAAAGCCCGGGGCUCAACCCCGGAACUGCCUUUGAAACUAGAUGACUAGAAUCUUGGAGAGGUCAGUGGAAUUCCGAGUGUAGAGGUGAAAUUCGUAGAUAUUCGGAAGAACACCAGUGGCGAAGGCGACUGACUGGACAAGUAUUGACGCUGAGGUGCGAAAGCGUGGGGAGCAAACAGGAUUAGAUACCCGCGUAGUCCCUGUCUCUUAUAC